rnacentral:rRNA from 1 species
UACGUAGGGGCCUAGCGUUGUCCGGAUUUAUUGGGCGUAAAGAGCUCGUAGGCGGUUUGGUAAGUCGGGUGUGAAAUCUCCACGCUCAACGUGGAGGGGCCACCCGAUACUGCCAUGACUGGAGUCCGGUAGGGGAGUGUGGAAUUCCCGGUGUAGCGGUGGAAUGCGCAGAUAUCGGGAGGAACACCGGUGGCGAAGGCGGGUCUCUGGGCCGAUACUGACGCUGAGGAGCGAAAGCGUGGGGAGCGAACAGG